rnacentral:rRNA from 1 species
CAGCCAUAGUUUAUUAGAUCUUUCAGUUACUUGGAUAACUGUGGUAAUUCUAGAGCUAAUACACGCAUUCAAGUCCUGACUUUACGGAAAGGACGCAUUUAUUAGACCAAAACCAAUCGGGCUACGCGCCCGUCGUUUGGUGAAUCUGAAUAACUUUGCUGAUCGCAUGGUCUUUGCACCGGCGACGUAUCUUUCAAAUGUCUGCCUUAUCAACUUUCGAUGGUAGUUUAUGCGCCUACCAUGGUUGUAACGGGUAACGGAGAAUAAGGGUUCGACUCCGGAGAGGGAGCCUGAGAAACGGCUACCACAUCCAAGGAAGGCAGCAGGCACGCAAAUUACCCACUCCCGGCACGGGGAGGUAGUGACGAAAAAUAACGAGACGGUUCUCUAUGAGGCCCGUCAUCGGAAUGGGUACAAUUUAAAUCCUUUAACGAGGAUCUAUUGGAGGGCAAGUCUGGUGCCAGCAGCCGCGGUAAUUCCAGCUCCAAAAGCGUAUAUUAAAGUUGUUGCGGUUAAAAAGCUCGUAGUUGGAUCUGCGUCCUUGGUUGGCGGUCCCCUAACGGGAGGUACUGCUAUACCAGGACUAAUUUCUCCGGUUUACCCUUGGUGCUCUUUACUGAGUGUCUUGGGAGGCUGGAACGUUUACUUUGAAAAAAUUAGAGUGCUCAAAGCAGGCGGUCAGCUUGAAUAGUGGUGCAUGGAAUAAUGGAAUAGGACUUCGGUUCUAUUUUGUUGGUUUAAGGGAUCGAAGUAAUGAUUAAGAGGGACAGACGGGGGCAUU